rnacentral:rRNA from 1 species
UACGUAGGGUGCAAGCGUUGUCCGGAAUUAUUGGGCGUAAAGAGCUCGUAGGCGGUUUGUCACGUCGGAUGUGAAAACUCGGGGCUCAACCCCGAGCCUGCAUUCGAUACGGGCAGACUUGAGUUCGGCAGGGGAGACUGGAAUUCCUGGUGUAGCGGUGAAAUGCGCAGAUAUCAGGAGGAACACCGGUGGCGAAGGCGGCAUCCUGGACCAACACUGACACUGAUGAGCGAAAGCCAGGGGAGCAAACGGG